UACGGGGGGGCAAGCGUUGUUCGGAAUUAUUGGGCGUAAAGGGCUCGUAGGCGGCCAACUAAGUCAGACGUGAAAUCCCUCGGCUUAACCGGGGAACUGCGUCUGAUACUGGAUGGCUUGAGAUUGGGAGAGGGAUGCGGAAUUCCAGGUGUAGCGGUGAAAUGCGUAGAUAUCUGGAGGAACACCGGUGGCGAAGGCGGCAUCCUGGACCAACACUGACGCUGAGUGAGCGAAAGCCAGGGGAG
rnacentral:rRNA from 1 species